AGUGAACGCUGGCGGUAGGCCUAACACAUGCAAGUCGAACGGCAGCACAGUAAGAGCUUGCUCUUACGGGUGGCGAGUGGCGGACGGGUGAGGAAUACAUCGGAAUCUACUUUUUCGUGGGGGAUAACGUAGGGAAACUUACGCUAAUACCGCAUACGACCUACGGGUGAAAGCAGGGGAUCUUCGGACCUUGCGCGAUUGAAUGAGCCGAUGUCGGAUUAGCUAGUUGGCGGGGUAAAGGCCCACCACGGCGACGAUCCGUAGCUGGUCUGAGAGGAUGAUCAGCCACACUGGAACUGAGACACGGUCCAGACUCCUACGGGAGGCAGCAGUGGGGAAUAUUAGACAAUGGGCGCAAGCCUGAUCCAGCCAUACCGCGUGGGUGAAGAAGGCCUUCGGGUUGUAAAGCCCUUUUGUUGGGAAAGAAAAGCAGCAGGUUAAUACCCCGCUGUUCUGACGGUACCCAAAGAAUAAGCACCGGCUAACUUCGUG
rnacentral:rRNA from 1 species